rnacentral:rRNA from 1 species
CUUGCUUCUCUUGAGAGCGGCGGACGGGUGAGUAAUGCCUAGGAAUCUGCCUGGUAGUGGGGGAUAACGUCCGGAAACGGACGCUAAUACCGCAUACGUCCUACGGGAGAAAGCAGGGGACCUUCGGGCCUUGCGCUAUCAGAUGAGCCUAGGUCGGAUUAGCUAGUUGGUGGGGUAAUGGCUCACCAAGGCGACGAUCCGUAACUGGUCUGAGAGGAUGAUCAGUCACACUGGAACUGAGACACGGUCCAGACUCCUACGGGAGGCAGCAGUGGGGAAUAUUGGACAAUGGGCGAAAGCCUGAUCCAGCCAUGCCGCGUGUGUGAAGAAGGUCUUCGGAUUGUAAAGCACUUUAAGUUGGGAGGAAGGGCAGUAAAUUAAUACUUUGCUGUUUUGACGUUACCGACAGAAUAAGCACCGGCUAACUCUGUGCCAGCAGCCGCGGUAAUACAGAGGGUGCAAGCGUUAAUCGGAAUUACUGGGCGUAAAGCGCGCGUAGGUGGUUCGUUAAGUUGGAUGUGAAAUCCCCGGGCUCAACCUGGGAACUGCAUUCAAAACUGACGAGCUAGAGUAUGGUAGAGGGUGGUGGAAUUUCCUGUGUAGCGGUGAAAUGCGUAGAUAUAGGGAAGGAACACCAGUGGCGAAGGCGACCACCUGGACUGAUACUGACACUGAGGUGCGAAAGCGUGGGGAGCAACAGGAUUAGAUACCCUGGUAGUCCACGCCGUAACGAUGUCAACUA